rnacentral:rRNA from 1 species
UGGCCCCUACGGGAGGCAGCAGUGAGGAAUAUUGGUCAAUGGGAGAGAUCCUGAACCAGCCACGCCGCGUGAGGGAAGACGGCCCUAUGGGUUGUAAACCUCUUUUGUCGGAGAACAAAACCCGGGACGUGUCCCGGACUGCGUGUAUCCGAAGAAAAAGCAUCGGCUAACUCCGUGCCAGCAGCCGCGGUAAUACGGAGGAUGCGAGCGUUAUCCGGAUUUAUUGGGUUUAAAGGGUGCGUAGGCGGUCCGUUAAGUCAGCGGUAAAAUCGUGGGGCCCAACCCCAUCCCGCCGUUGAAACUGG